GUCACUGCUAUCGGGGUUCGACUAAGCCAUGCAAGUCGAGAGGGGUCAAGCCCUCGGCGAACUGCUCAGUAACACGUGGAUAACCUGACCUAGGGUGGAGGAUAACCCCGGGAAACUGGGGAUAAUACUCCAUAGGCUACGGAAGCUGGAAUGCUCUGUAACCGAAAGUUCCGGCGCCCUAGGAUGGGUCUGCGGCCGAUUAGGUUGUUGUUGGGGUAACGGCCCAACAAGCCGAUCAUCGGUACGGGUUGUGGGAGCAAGAGCCCGGAGAUGGAUUCUGAGACAUGAAUCCAGGCCCUACGGGGCGCAGCAGGCGCGAAAACUUUACAAUGCGGGAAACCGUGAUAAGGGGACCCCGAGUGCCUGUACACGCAGGCUGUUCAGGUGUUUAAAACGCAUCUGGAGAAAGGGCCGGGCAAGACCGGUGCCAGCCGCCGCGGUAAUACCGGCGGCUCGAGUGGUGGCCACUAUUACUGGGCUUAAAGCGUCCGUAGCCGGGUU
rnacentral:rRNA from 1 species